GGCCCGCACAAGCGGUGGAGCAUGUGGUUUAAUUCGAUGAUACGCGAGGAACCUUACCAGGGCUUAAAUGCAGAACGACAGAGGUGGAAACACCUCCUUCUUCGGACGGUCUGCAAGGUGCUGCAUGGUUGUCGUCAGCUCGUGCUGUGAAGUGUCGGGUUAAGUCCCAUAACGAGCGCAACCCCUAUUUCUAGUUGCCAGCGGUUCGGCCGGGGACUCUAGAGAAACUGCCAGCGUAAGCUGUGAGGAAGUGGGGAUGACGUCAAAUCAUCACGGCCCUUACGUCCUGGGCUACACACGUGCUACAAUGGUAGGGACAGAGAGUUGCCAACCCGCGAGGGUGAGCUAAUCUUCAAACCCCUAUCUCAGUUCGGA
rnacentral:rRNA from 1 species